GCCCCGUGGUGUAGUGGUUUUGUCGCGUUAUCCUUCAAUAUUGAAGGUCCCUGGUUCGACUCCCAGUCAAGGCA